AGAGAAUGGAGUUAUAGGAGCCCCUGAUAUCUUAAUGUAAGUCUCUUACUGUGAUAUCUUUCCUCUCAUUAAAGGUUAAGUGCCAUCCUCUGAUAACUGCUUUUGAAAAAAAAUGCAUCUAAAAAUUCUCAACAAAGCUCCUGGUUUCAAGAACCUGCUUGAGCUCUUAAGUGCUGAAUGCUUUCAUGAGCAUGGGCCACUUGUGCUGUCCAGAAUUGUAACCACUGAAGAGAGCGAGGCCUCCUGCAGCUGCAGAAGCAGAGACCACAAGCACCUCUGGGUGAUGGGUGUCAGCAAAGAGGCGGAAACUAGCAAGAGCCCGCUCCUGGUGUAGCAGCUUCCUGCACAAACAGCCCCUUGUAAAUUUUUUUUCCUCCACCCUUUACCACAAUAUUGUAUUCAAAUUCCUGUUACAGAUUUCACCGCUGUGGUUUCCCUUUUCCUGACUAAACUCUAGCAGGUUGAGUGCUUAAUACCAGUAGUUUCAGAAA
rnacentral:lncRNA from 1 species